UACGUAGGGGGCAAGCGUUGUCCGGAAUCAUUGGGCGUAAAGCGCGUGUAGGCGGUCUGGAAAGUCUGGUGUGAAAACUGAGGGCUCAACCCUCAGCCUGCACUGGAUACUGUCAGACUUGAGUCCGGAAGAGGAGUGUGGAAUUCCUGGUGUAGCGGUGGAAUGCGCAGAUAUCAGGAGGAACACCAAUGGCGAAGGCAGCACUCUGGGACGUGACUGACGCUGAGACGCGAAAGCGUGGGGAGCAAACAGG
rnacentral:rRNA from 1 species